rnacentral:lncRNA from 1 species
AGAAGACGCUGCACGACUACGCGGCCGAGUUCACGGAGCUGGCGGUGAAGCGGCACCUGCUGGAGCGCGGCGCCGCCGGCGAGGCCGCCGUGGUGGAGACGCUGUACUGCACCUCCUGCGAGCUGCCCAUGCGGGUGCGGCGCGACCGCAUCCUCGAGCACCUCUCGUCGGGCCGCCACUACCGCAACCGCCGCCUCGGCCGCCAGCACGGCCUGCGCGCCCCGCUCCUCCUAUCUGCAGGUCCAGACCUUGGCGCCAGCCUUCCCCUCCAGCUCGAUGCUCCUUCCCUGCUUUCCCAGCCUUCCUUCAUCCUCUCGAGCAACCCCUGCAUCACCAGCGCCGGGACCAGCACCAGCUACAGCAUGGCCCCGUCUCCGCCCUCCUUCCACAAGUCUCUGGUCCCUGUCCCCCCGGGCGCCAUCAGCUCCACAACAGGCAUCGCGUCUGCCAGAGAAGACCAAACGCCCUCUACCUCCACCAGUCACCCUUCGGCGUUCGCCGCCUUCCACGUGAGAAGCGCGCCCGUCCCCUCGAAGCAGGCCGGCCAAAGGCUCGUUGUUCCCGAGGCCUCCGACAGCGCGGUUCCGGGAGGGGCCGGGGGACGGUACAGCAGUACUGCUAGCAACGUCGGCCUCGCCCUUUUUGGCRUAGGGCUCGCUAACAAAGCGUUGUUUCAAAGUCUGAUGGAAGAAAAURGUUGCUGUUUGCUUUACGUUGUGGAAAAUCAGCUGCAAGAGGUGGAACGUGCCUUCAGUGCAGAAUUUUUGGCCAAUACCAGGGUGCUGCGGCAGCAGGAUGCUGAUAUUGUGCUCAGUGAUCAACGAGUCUCUGGAGCCAUUAUUUGUUCACCACCUGAAGAAGCUUCUGAGAUUGUAAUAGAUGCUUUACGAGCUGGGAAAGGUGUAUUUUGCGAGAGGCUACCCAGUUUAGACAGGCAGACAGCAGAAGCUUGUUUUGAUGAAGCUGACAGAUGUGGAAGACCAUUGGUUUGUGGAUUCUACAAGCGUUUUGACCCAGCGCUGCAGUUCUUGUAUAAAAAAGUCCGCGACAGCCAGGCGUUGGGGAGGAUUCACCGGAUAUCAACGAUUAGCAGCAUAUAUCCAGCAGCUUCUCUUAGCUUCCUAAAAAAGUCAGGUGGAAUUUUUUAUAACGCUGCUGUGCAUGAUAUAGAUAUUAUCAGUUUGUUGUUGGGAGAGAGUGCACCAGAUACAGUAUUUUCACUGGGACAUGCAUUCUGUGCAGAUAUGGCCUACUUGAAGGAUGCAGACACUGUAGCAGUCAGCAUGAAAUUUCCUAGCGGAGCAAUUGUUACUUUGGACAUCAGUCAGCACUGCACUAAAAGCUGUGAUCAGAGACUAGAGGUUCACGGUUCUCAAGGAACGUUACGGGUAGAUAAUCAGAAUCCCUUGGGAAUUACGGAGCACGGAACUUCUGUAUCCAUCUAUUCACASACCCAAGCCGAUCGUUACAGAGAUGCACACAGAGAGCUCUUUCGACACUUUCUUAGAACCCUGAAAGGCAAAGAACCUCCCGUGAUAACCAAAGAACAGUUUCUCUGGACAAUUCAGGUAGCGGCAGCUGCUGAACAGUCCUGGAGAAAUGGAUCUGCUGUUGACUUACGCAAUGAAGCAAUAGAUUCGUCUGUAAUCAAGACUGAAAUAAUGUGAUACGCACUGCUGUUUUUUGAGGUGAAGGAUAAUCUUUGAGCUGUGCUACAGUGAAGUCUUUUUACCUAGUGAUGUCUCCACCGUUACCUUACUUAUAGAAGAGACUUACUCCUUUACAUUUCCACUGGAAACGCCCAGAACUUGGAGGCACUUUUGAGCUCGGAGGGCUCCGGGCUGAUGGCGCGGAUGCUGCUCAGCACAGCAGCCAGGACCCUCCAGAGAAAUUACGUGCGGUUUUGUCCAGGUGGCAUUUUCUUCUGGAGAGCUGUGUUGCUUGCGGAGUAUUGCUGUCUUGGGAGAGGGCCAGUGCUGCUCGGGGCGUGGUGAGGAGCUGCGACGGGAGCUGUGCGAGUGGCAGCUGUGGCAACGAGGUGGCGAAAUGCUCGAGAAAAUGAGAGCGUUCGGCUGAGCCGUGCUCGCUUCCCUGCAGCGCGUGCAGGAGUGUGACUUCUGCGCUGAACCCGCUCCUGGGCCUCAUAUUUAUUAUUUCAUUUGUUGUUUUUUAAUGGGUUUUUACUAAAUUUUUGCUAUGGAUUUCAAAUACAUAGCUGAAAAGUUCUGAUCAUCUAACUUUCUUGGGGGAUGGGGGAGAGGAAUGGAAAAGCAGGGAGGGAGUCUUCCUACUGUGCGACUGCAGUGAGGGGAGAAGCYGUAGGAAGGCCACGAAUUAAGAGUAUUCCGUAGCGAAGCAACAUGCUUGGGCAUUUCUAUAAGAAACACUGCAUUAUUAAAAUUUUUUUCAGAAAGCAAUCUGUGAAUGUGURCAGUGGGCCUGUACAACGUCUGUUACCGAGAGAGGUGCGUGUCGGCUGGGCUGCUCAGUGCGUGGAUCCAGCGUUGUCUGAUUACUCACUGCAACAGCGAGGUAGCUGUCGGCGUGCUCGUUUUCCUUGCUUAAAUGCAAACCUUGUAUGUUAAUACUUUAGUAGCAAAAGUGGACUAAUAAUCGCUUUCCUUGAGUGUAGGAAGGGGGUGAUUACAUAUUUUAAAGAUAUUUUUU